rfam:Anas platyrhynchos breed Pekin duck contig106700, whole genome shotgun sequence.
GGGGAUGUAGCUCAGCGGUAGAGCGCUUGCUUUGCAUGCAAGAGGCCCUGGGUUCAAGCCCCAGCAUCUCCA